rnacentral:rRNA from 1 species
UACGAAGGGGGCUAGCGUUGCUCGGAAUUACUGGGCGUAAAGGGCUCGUAGGUGGCCAACUAAGUCAGACGUGAAAUCCCUCAGCUUAACUGGGGAACUGCGUCUGAUACUGGAUGGCUUGAGAUUGGGAGAGGGAUGCGGAAUUCCAGGUGUAGCGGUGAAAUGCGUAGAUAUCUGGAGGAACACCGGUGGCGAAGGCGGCAUCCUGGACCAACACUGACACUGAGGAGCGAAAGCCAGGGGAGCAAACGGG